rnacentral:rRNA from 1 species
AGUGAACGCUGGCGGUAGGCCUAACACAUGCGAGUCGAACGGCAGCACAGUAAGAGCUUGCUCUUACGGGUGGCGAGUGGCGGACGGGUGAGGAAUACAUCGGAAUCUACUUUUUCGUGGGGGAUAACGUAGGGAAACUUACGCUAAUACCGCAUACGACCUACGGGUGAAAGCAGGGGAUCUUCGGACCUUGCGCGAUUGAAUGAGCCGAUGUCGGAUUAGCUAGUUGGCGGGGUAAAGGCCCACCAAGGCGACGAUCCGUAGCUGGUCUGAGAGGAUGAUCAGCCACACUGGAACUGGAACACGGUCCAGACUCCUACGGGGCGCCGCAGAGGGGAAUAUUUGACAACAGGCGCAAGCCUGAUCCAGCCAUACCGCGUGGGUGAAGAAGGCCUUCGGGUUGUAAAGCCCUUUUGUUGGGAAAGAAAAGCAGCAGGUUAAUACCCCGCUGUUCUGACGGUACCCAAAGAAUAAGCACCGGCUAACUUCGUG